CCCAGACUCCUACGGGAGGCAGCAGUGGGGAAUAUUGCACAAUGGGGGAAACCCUGAUGCAGCGACGCCGCGUGAGUGAAGAAGUAUUUCGGUAUGUAAAGCUCUAUCAGCAGGGAAGAAAAUGACGGUACCUGACUAAGAAGCCCCGGCUAACUACGUGCCAGCAGCCGCGGUAAUACGUAGGGGGCAAGCGUUAUCCGGAUUUACUGGGUGUAAAGGGAGCGUAGACGGCAGCGCAAGUCUGAAGUGAAAUCCCAUGGCUUAACCAUGGAACUGCUUUGGAAACUGAGCAGCUAGAGUGCAGGAGAGGUAGGCGGAAUUCCUAGUGUAGCGGUGAAAUGCGUAGAUAUUAGGAGGAACAUCAGUGGCGAAGGCGGCUUACUGGACUGUAACUGACGUUGAGGCUCGAAAGCGUGGGGAGCAAACAGGAUUAGAUACCCCGGUAAAG
rnacentral:rRNA from 1 species